rnacentral:rRNA from 1 species
GGUGGAUUAGUGGCGAACGGGUGAGUAACACGUGAGUAACCUGCCCUUGACUCUGGGAUAAGCCUGGGAAACUGGGUCUAAUACUGGAUAUGACUUCUCACCGCAUGGUGGGGGGUGGAAAGAUUUAUUGGUCUUGGAUGGACUCGCGGCCUAUCAGCUUGUUGGUGAGGUAAUGGCUCACCAAGGCGACGACGGGUAGCCGGCCUGAGAGGGUGACCGGCCACACUGGGACUGAGACACGGCCCAGACUCCUACGGGAGGCAGCAGUGGGGAAUAUUGCACAAUGGGCGCAAGCCUGAUGCAGCGACGCCGCGUGAGGGAUGACGGCCUUCGGGUUGUAAACCUCUUUCAGUAGGGAAGAAGCGAAAGUGACGGUACCUGCAGAAGAAGCGCCGGCUAACUACGUGCCAGCAGCCGCGGUAAUACGUAGGGCGCGAGCGUUAUCCGGAAUUAUUGGGCGUAAAGAGCUCGUAGGCGGUUUGUCGCGUCUGCCGUGAAAGUCCGGGGCUUAACCCCGGAUCUGCGGUGGGUACGGGCAGACUAGAGUGCAGUAGGGGAGACUGGAAUUCCUGGUGUAGCGGUGAAAUGCGCAGAUAUCAG